CCAACGUAAACAACCCACCAUAGGCAGCUGACUAGGGGAGGUCGCUAGCCUAAUCCUUGAACUCAUCGACGUCCUGGAACUCCUAGAGAUCCACCUUGACUCCUUCUCUUUCUUUACCUGAGCAUAGAUUGCAUCAAAGGCAACCUGGUGUUUUGUGAAAGCAAGGGUGAGUACACAUCAACGUACUCAGCAAAUGUCCCGUUUGGAUGAAGUGGACUAGCUUUAUGUGGGGUUAAGGUCAAGCAGUUGCUUUUAGUUGGUCAGGUAAUUAUUAAUAGUAGAGAGUCAGGUUUUAACAUUAACCCAAGUUGUUAACCCAAAAGUACUCUUUCCAAAUGGAAAGAAUACCAGAAACCAUAAGCAUAAUCAUAAUCAUAAAAACCAUCAUUAUCCUCAUCAUCAUCUGUAACAAAACAUCUCUGAUCAAUGUGUCUCUAAUCAAUGGAGCUCCCAUGGCCGCUCAUAACCGCGAGCACGGCUGAUAUAUCAGUUUCAUAACACUCUGCAGAGGUUGCGCACUUUACCCACAAGUCGUGAUUCCCUCUCUAGCCCGGGCUUGCAAGACCCUUAUUCACUCCCAAGGUGAAUGGCCAGGGAUUCACUACGAAGCCUUUACAAAGAUUCCCUGAGGCUGUAGCCGCCCGUUAGGUUUUCUAAAUGCACCGCACUCCUCCCCAAGGGGCGAACCAACCUUGGCAGAGCGAGCCGCAUACACCGAGCCUCAUUAACGACACGACGGCGAAGCGAACUACACCUCAGUUCCUCUAAUUAUUCAGCUAAGGGCGUCCCAUUCCACCCUCAUGGUUGCACUGUUUUCCCGGGUGGUCAUCCAACGAACCAGUCCUUACGGAGAGGCACUCGAGAAAUAGCUCGAGUCCCCUUAAAUGCUACAAGUAUAUCAUCAUAUCCUGAAUAAAACCAUAGUAUCGUCAUUGUAUCUCAUCAUGUUCAUUUAUUAAAGUAAAGCGCUAGCAUGAAGCUAACCAUAGUAACCUAAAAGGUAAUCAAGGACAAGGUAAAUAGAAAGCUAGUUAAUCCUUAUGUUGUUCAUAGUAUGCGGGACAGUGAAUUAUAAAGUAAAUGAGACAUAAUGGGUCAGAGGACACUUGCCUUCACUAAACAGGUGCUCAGGGUCUUCAACCUCGUAGGACUCGAAGAACUUGAUCUCGGGGCCAGUGGUUCACCAAUUCUUGAUCGUCGAUUCCUCGAAGCCCAGGAACAGAUCGUAAUCUAUUCGCGACGCGCAACAAAUACAAACAGGUACAAAAGAAUAUAUACUUGCAUAACAACAUUACACCAUAAAGAUAAAAUAUUAUUGAAACGAGCAAUAUCAAAAUAGAGAGCGCUUCUACAGUUAUGUGAGGAUAAUAAACGCGAUCGUCGAAGCUACGGUCGAGAAGUAACGUUUGCGCUAAGUAAGUAAUAGUCAAGACAUUUAAUUCGACAUUAUAAAAUAUAAAUUAUAACUGCUAUGUAGUUUUGAUUAAAUCUGCUACACUAACAACUGUCAAAUAAAUAACUAAUAUAAUUAGCACGAGAGAUUUUAAGCGAGGUGAGUUUACGAUACGCGAAACAGCAUGACAGCGUGCGAAUGACACGCGCGACAGGCGAGAAAAACUAAAUAGGUGGCGCGUUUGUACUAAACAAUAUUAAAUAAAUAAAAAGUAUUUAACUUGAUAUUUGUCGUGUCAAUGUUUAUUAUAAGAGCGCAAGUGGAAUACUACACAUUUAAUCUAAUUGGAAAAUAAAUAUUAGUUAGAAUAUUUAGUUUGACAUAGUUAUAUUAAUUGACAUUUAACAACUAUAAAUCAAGACUAGUGCUUAGCUUUGACCAAUUCACUAUUUUAAUAGUGGGCAACUAAACAAAUAGUUAAUUAAUCAUCAUGAGUGAUUAUAAAAGAAUGAUUUAAUAUUGCACGCGGAUAACGCGCGAUACGCGCGAACGACGCGCGGCAAGGCGUGAAACACACGCGAAUAACGCGUGACAACACGCGACAAGUCGUGAAACAGCACGCGGACGGCACACAAAACAAUGCGCGCGACGUCAUGCAAGCAGCGCGUGAACGACACACCCGAACGACGCUCGCGAAACAGUACGUGCGACAGCACGCGAACGAUGUGUGACAACGCACACGACAACACGCGAACAAAUGGCGAUGACGCACGCGGACAACGCGCGCGUCACACGAGAAUCACUAAUCUAUACCGCGUUUAUACUAAAUAAUAUGUAUUAAACUACAAGUGUUUAAGUUAAUGUUAAUCGUGUCAACAUUUAUAUUUGUAAAAAAAUGAGUUAAAACUAUAACUAGGUUUAACUAGCACACUAAAUAAAUAAACCUUUAUUGAACAAAUACUUAAUUAAUUACUUAAAACAUAUGACAUGGUGAAUAAUAUUUUUAAUGCGUAGAUGAUGUUACAAGGAAGCUAAUGCAACACGAAUGGAUCGAAAUAGAUUUAUAAUGUGAAAGCUAUAUAUAUUUAAUAAUUCGAUCAUAUCUAAUGUGAUGUGGCCUGUUGCGAUUAGCUGGAGCCACACCACAUGAAGGGCCACGAAUUUUAUGUCCAUAUAGGAUCUUUGGAGGAUAGUUUCUCUCUAAUCGCAUGCAGCUAGAGAAGAAAAAAAAAUACGACAUGCAAAGUAGGGCCCAUGCACAAUCUUUCGUGGGUGCUCACGCACGACACUGCAUGCAAGGUGGGCCCCUUAAACCGUUUCCUUUUUUCCAGGCGCAGCCACACAGCACGUCAGCACCCAGGAUUUUCUUCUCCUUUUCUUCAACCUCCAUACGCCCGUCAUGGAUUGGAAUCAGCCGCAGAGGGCUUGGGUGACGGAGAAAUUGUUCGUCGACGUCUGGCCCAGUCGCAUGGGGGCAGGGGGCUUCGCCUCGCUGGCCUAGUGCACAGAGGCGCUCGCGCAGGUGGCCGGGAAGGCUCGCCAACGGCCGGCCUCCGCGCAGGCAGUUAGUGCGGCCGGGGCUAGGCUCAGCUGUGCAAGGGUCCUCCCGCCACAGGUGCAGUGCACGCGGGCUAGAGAGGAGCGACGCCGCCAGCGGUAGGACUACUACGGCGAGGGUCGGCAUAGCAGCAUGCCUCGCGUGAUGAAGAACUGCAUACAGAAAAGAAGAGAGAGAGAAGAGCUUACUAGAGAAGAAGAUGACCGGAGCAAGGCUGCGCCGGAGACGAGGGGACGACGAACAGGAGCGCUCCCGACGCACGGCAACACGAUGGGAACAAGGAGCAGAGGAAUGUGUAACUAUAUUGUGUGGGGAGAGGGGUUUAG
rnacentral:lncRNA from 1 species